UUACGCUAAUACCGCAUACGAUCUAAGGAUGAAAGCGGGGGACUCGCAAGGGCCUCGCGCGAUUGGAGCGGCCGAUAUCAGAUUAGGUAGUUGGUGGGGUAAAAGCUCACCAAGCCGACGAUCUGUAAGCUGGUCCUGAGAGGACGACCCAGCCACACUGGAACUGAGACACGGUCCAGACUCCUACGGGAGGCAGCAGUGGGGAAUUUUGGACAAUGGGCGCAAGCCUGAUCCAGCAAUGCCGCGUGCAGGAUGAAGGCCUUCGGGUUGUAAACUGCUUUUGUACGGAACGAAACGGUCUGCUUUAAUACAGUGGGCUAAUGACGGUACCGUAAGAAUAAGCACCGGCUAACUACGUG
rnacentral:rRNA from 1 species